GACGAACGCUGGCGGCGUGCUUAACACAUGCAAGUCGAACGGAAAGGCCCUGCUUUUGUGGGGUGCUCGAGUGGCGAACGGGUGAGUAACACGUGAGUAACCUGCCCUUGACUUUGGGAUAACUUCAGGAAACUGGGGCUAAUACCGGAUAGGAGCUCCUGCUGCAUGGUGGGGGUUGGAAAGUUUCGGCGGUUGGGGAUGGACUCGCGGCUUAUCAGCUUGUUGGUGGGGUAGUGGCUUACCAAGGCUUUGACGGGUAGCCGGCCUGAGAGGGUGACCGGCCACAUUGGGACUAAGAGACGGACCAGACUCCUACGGGAGGCAGCAGUGGGGAAUAUGGCACAAUGGGCGGAAGCCUGAUGCAGAAGCGCCGCGUGCGGGAUGACGGCCUUCGGGUUGUAAACCGCUUUCGCCUGUGACGAAGCGUGAGUGACGGUAAUGGGUAAAGAAGCACCGGCUAACUACGUG
rnacentral:rRNA from 1 species